rnacentral:sRNA from 1 species
GAUACUAGGGGAAACAAGUCAAAAAUGUGAGUCAUGCUUGCAUGAACGAGCAUUUUGACUUGGUGACCCGAACAAACAUUCGCAAGCAGCAAUUUCCUUACAUGUAAGGAAAUUAGCGGAUUGCGAAUGUUUGCAGGAUUGCGGGAGCA